UACGUAGGGACCGAGCGUUGUCCGGAAUCAUUGGGCGUAAAGAGCGUGUAGGCGGCCUUUUAAGUCCUGCGUGAAAUCCUGCGGCUCAACCGCAGACGGUCGUGGGAAACUGGAAGGCUAGAGUGCGGGAGAGGAGAGUGGAAUUCCCGGUGUAGCGGUGAAAUGCGCAGAUAUCGGGAGGAACACCGAUAGCGAAGGCAGCUCGCUGGGACGGUACUGACGCUGAGGUGCGAAAGCGUGGGGAGCGAACAGG
rnacentral:rRNA from 1 species